rnacentral:rRNA from 1 species
AUUGAACGCUGGCGGCAGGCUUAACACAUGCAAGUCGAGCGGAGAUGAGGUGCUUGCACCUUAUCUUAGCGGCGGACGGGUGAGUAAUGCUUAGGAAUCUGCCAUUUAGUGGGGGACAACAUUCCGAAAGGAAUGCUAAUACCGCAUACGUCCUACGGGAGAAAGCAGGUGAUCUUCGGACCUUGCGCUAAAUGAUGAGCCUAAGUCGGAUUAGCUAGUUGGUGGGGUAAAGGCCUACCAAGGCGACGAUCUGUAGCGGGUCUGAGAGGAUGAUCCGCCACACUGGGACAGGGACACGGCGCAGACUCCUACGGGGGGCAGCAGUGGGGAAUAUUGGACAAUGGGCGGAAGCGUGAGCCAGCCAUGCCGCGUGUAUGAAGAAGGCCUUUUGGUUGUAAAGCACUUUAAGCGAGGAGGAGGCUACUAGUACUAAUACUACUGGAUAGUGGACGUUACUCGCAGAAUAAGCACCGGCUAACACUGUGCCAGCCGCCGCCGUAAGAC